AUGAUCCUUGGGGGUCCCUUCCAACCCAUGCCAUUCUAUGAUUCUGUGAUUCUAUGCUUCUAUGACUCCGGUCUUUUCAUCACCACAGCUUGCCCUGCUGCUCGCCCCUCCAAGGGCCGCCUUGCCCGCUGGCAGGACAGCUGUGAAUUGGCACAGUGUAGGCAGUUUGCCACUUGGUGUGAAAAAGCUUCAACAAAGCUGCCCUUGUGUCAACAUGUUUUGAAAUUAUCAAUACAACAUGCCAGCGUGCCCGGUUUUAAAGGUUUUGAUAACUGGGCACAAGUUGAAGCAGUCACUGCUCCUAACCCACUGAGCUGACCCAGUAUUUAGGAAAUUCUGAACACGUUUGAGGAGCACGAGAAACCACAGAUCCUGGAAAAGUGAGGGACCUGCCAUAAUCUUGCACACCAAGAAUCUUCUUAAAAGUUAAAAAUGACCCUCAAUGUAAACUUCAAGCCUGAAAUAUGAGAGCAUUUUUAUAAUCUUAUGUGUCAAUGCACUUUGUACAACUGUGAUUGUGGCUGCAACUUUUAAUGAUCAUCCCGUCUAGGAGAGAAAAGAGAAAACAGUGCAAAGUGUCUCAUGAAGCAGCACAACAGAAAGUGAUACGACGCUCAAAUAAGUUCCUAAGGUUUUUUAAAUUAUUCUUACGACAUUGCAUCCAUUGAAUAUGCUUUUCAGAAUUAGUGGCCUCACCUAAGCACCUCGGCUCUCUUGAUAAUUAAUGGAGACGCAGCACCUCAAGGAGAAUAUUUUCUCCAAGAGAGACAUUUGCUUGGAAUGAACUGUCCUCACAGGUGCUACCACACCUCUGGUGACAACGAUAGGGUCGGGGUGACCAGCUGAAGCAGCAGCUUUACCUCAUACCUGAAUUCAGGACAAUGCACCACCUGUACAGAUGAUGUUCUCUACAGCUCUCAGACAACCUGUUACUCAGAUUGGCAAUAGCAAUUUUUUCUCUUACCUGUGAUACCAGUUGGAAGCAUCAGUCCCUCAAGCAGGGCUGGCAUGCCCAGCAUACCCAGCCAACCAUCCUCUCUUACCUAUGUAUCUCUUGACUAAGGCCGCUUAGCACAAAGGAGUUAAGAGUUAGAUCCAAUAAAGGAAUUAAGAUGAGAUCCA
rnacentral:lncRNA from 1 species